rnacentral:rRNA from 1 species
UACAGAGACUGCAAGCGUUAUUCGGAUUCACUGGGCGUAAAGGGUGCGCAGGCGGCCGAGUGUGUGAGGCGUGAAAGCCCGGGGCUUAACCCCGGAAUUGCACCUCAAACUACACGGCUAGAGCAUUGGAGAGGGUAGCAGAAUUCACGGUGUAGCAGUGAAAUGCGUAGAUAUCGAUGAGGAAUACCAGAGGCGAAGGCGGCUACCUGGACAAUUGCUGACGCUCAGGCACGAAAGCGUGGGGAGCAAACAGG